rnacentral:rRNA from 1 species
UACAGGGGGUGCAAACGUUGCUCGGAAUUAUUGGGCGUAAAGCGCGCGUAGGCGGCUACUUAAGUCGGAUGUGAAAGCCCUUGGCUCAACUGAGGAAGUGCACCCGAAACUGAGUGGCUUGAGUACUAAAGAGGGUCGCGGAAUUCCCGGUGUAGAGGUGAAAUUCGUAGAUAUCGGGAGGAACACCAGCGGCGAAGGCGGCGCUCUGGGCCGGUACUGACGCUGAGGAGCGAAAGCGUGGGGAGCAAACAGG